rnacentral:rRNA from 1 species
CCUACGGGGGGCAGCAGUGAGGAAUAUUGGUCAAUGGGCGCGAGCCUGAACCAGCCAAGCCGCGUGAGGGAUGAAGGUUCUAUGGAUCGUAAACCUCUUUUAUAAGGGAAUAAAGUGUGGGACGUGUCCUAUUUUGUAUGUACCUUACGAAUAAGGAUCGGCUAACUCCGUGCCAGCAGCCGCGGUAAUACGGAGGAUCCGAGCGUUAUCCGGAUUUAUUGGGUUUAAAGGGUGCGUAGGUGGCCUUUUAAGUCAGCGGUGAAAGUCUGUGGCUCAACCAUAGAAUUGCCGUUGAUACUGGAGGACUUGAGAAUGUUUGAGGCAGGCGGAAUGCGUGGUGUAGCGGUGAAAUGCUUAGAUAUCACGCAGAACCCCGAUUGCGAAGGCAGCCUGCCAGGCCAUAACUGACGCUGAUGCACGAAAGCGUGGGGAUCGAACAGGAUUAGAUACCCUUGUAGUC